rnacentral:rRNA from 1 species
UGGGGAAUAUUGCACAAUGGGCGAAAGCCUGAUGCAGCGACGCCGCGUGCGGGAUGAAGGCCUUCGGGUUGUAAACCGCUUUUGAUUGGGAGCAAGCGAGAGUGAGUGUACCUUUCGAAUAAGCACCGGCUAACUACGUGCCAGCAGCCGCGGUAAUACGUAGGGUGCAAGCGUUAUCCGGAAUUAUUGGGCGUAAAGAGCUCGUAGGCGGCUUGUCGCGUCUGGUGUGAAAGUCCAUCGCUUAACGGUGGAUCUGCGCCGGGUACGGGCAGGCUAGAGUGCGACAGGGGAGACUGGAAUUCCCGGUGUAACGGUGGAAUGUGUAGAUAUCGGGAAGAACACCAAUGGCGAAGGCAGGUCUCUGGGUCGUCACUGACGCUGAGGAGCGAAAGCGUGGGGAGCGAACAGGAUUAGAUACCCUGGUAGUCCACGCCGUAAACGGUGGAUGCUGGAUGUGGGGC